UACGUAGGGUGCAAGCGUUAAUCGGAAUUACUGGGCGUAAAGCGUGCGCAGGCGGUUCUAUAAGACAGAUGUGAAAUCCCCGGGCUCAACCUGGGAAUGGCAUUUGUGACUGUAGAGCUAGAGUACGGUAGAGGGGGGAUGGAAUUCCGCGUGUAGCAGUGAAAUGCGUAGAGAUGUGGAGGAAUACCAUGGCGAAGGCAGCCUCCUGGGCCAACACUGACGCUCAUGCACGAAAGCGUGGGGAGCAAACAGG
rnacentral:rRNA from 1 species